CAGUUUUUGGUGGGUUUCCUGGGGAUAGGGACAUGCAUCCAAGCGAAGUCUUCUUCAUCGAGGCAUGCUUGAGAGCCUGACCUGGAGUCAUACUCUUUGUUGAGUCCAAACUUUAAAGAAAAUAAACACACGCUCAACAUUAAAGCAAAAAAAGCCUGCAAACACAGAAGCCUUAGGACACUUUGAUCCACCAUGUCUCAUGUUAACCAAGUGUUGGUAGAAACAUUCAGGGGGGAUGGUCAGCCAACUCAGCCAAAUCGCCGGCCUCAUAGUAGACUAUUUUGCCACAACUGCUGAUCAAACAUGUUUCGUGAGCUCUACUGUGACCAGGUAGGGCACUCACUGUAGGUAGGGCACUCACUGUAGGUAGGGCACUCACUGUAGGUAGGGCACUCACACUGGAUAAAGUCCAGCAGGUCAGGGUUGCUGGUGCCCAGGGCAGGGUUGCACCAACUGGGCGUAAGCCUGUUCUUAAUUACGCCUGGUCGUAACUUGGCGUUCUAAGUCAGACCUAACCGUUACGCCGGUUGCACCAACUGGGCUUAGCGUUCUUUUCACUAAGACCAGGCGUAAAUCCUACGCCUGGUCAGGGGCAGGCGUAGAGUUGAAAUUCCAGGCUGUUUCUAUAGUAAUUACAUCCAAUCCAAUGCACCGCUACCACCAUCCUUCCAACUGCUAAUUGUGCUUCGCUUCUAUGCAAAGGGGCAUUUCAAAACACAGCCGGCGAUAUGAUCAGUGUUCACAGAUCGACCACCUGUCGGGUUAUCCGGAGGGUUUCACUGCCGGUGCCCAGAAGACUCUCCAGCCUCUUGGAGCCUGGAAGGAUCUUCCCCCCCGACUUGAUGAGCAUGAUAUAUUUCAGCAUGCCCUCCUCAUCUGCACAUGAUACAGCAUCACAAUGAUUUAACACUAUUGAUUUCAAAUUGUUGGAUUAACAUUGUUUGUUUUUGUUAAGAUCACAAGUAAGCUGGCUGCUCCACCGUCUGUGGUAACAGUUGACCUCUUGCCUCUUGGUGGAGGAGCCGAUGAAGGGGCGGCAAUGGGAAGGACUUGGGGGCAUCUCGCUUGGCCAGCAGGUGUGAUGUCCCUGCGUCCCUCUUGGCUGCACCACCAUCUAUGGCACCAGUUGCCCCCUCGCUUCUUGGGAAAGGAGCUGGAGCAGCUGGACCAAUGGGUGGGACAAGGGGGAAUACUGUCGAUCGGCUGGUCUAGAUGUUCUUUCAUCACUCAUGGCUGCACCACCAUCUGUUGUAGCAAUAGCCCUCUGGCCUCUUGAUUGGGGAGCCCGUGACACCGCACCAAUGGGAAGGACCUUGGAGUAGGUCUCUAAAGUCAGGGGUCUCAUGGUCCUUCCAUGUAUCCUCAGUUUGGCCGUUAACCCCUGAUCCAUUGUCUUAGACUGGCUGCCAGUGCCCUUGACUGGUUUCAGAUGCAUCUGACUGCUGAUGCAUCUGGCUGCCAAACCAUGUGUGGCAACAGUUUCCCUCUUGUCUUUUGGUGGAGCAGCCGGUGCAGUGGCACGAAUGGGAGGAACCCGAGAGCAUCCUGUUUGGCCAGCUGGUCUGGAUGUCCCUGCGACCCUCUUUGCUGCCCCACCAUUUUUGGUAACAGUUGCCCUCUUCCAGCUUGGAGGAG
ensembl:lncRNA